AACGAACGCUGGCGGCAUGCCUAACACAUGCAAGUCGAACGAGACCUUCGGGUCUAGUGGCGCACGGGUGCGUAACACGUGGGAAUCUGCCCUUUGCUUCGGAAUAACAGUUAGAAAUGACUGCUAAUACCGGAUGAUGUCGAAAGACCAAGAUUUAUCGGCAAAGGAUGAGCCCGCGUAGGAUUAGGUAGUUGGUGGGGUAAAGGCCUACCAAGCCGACGAUCCUUAGCUGGUCUGAGAGGAUGAUCAGCCACACUGGGACUGAGACACGGCCCAGACUCCUACGGGAGGCAGCAGUGGGGAAUAUUGGACAAUGGGCGAAAGCCUGAUCCAGCAAUGCCGCGUGAGUGAUGAAGGCCUUAGGGUUGUAAAGCUCUUUUACCAGGGAUGAUAAUGACAGUACCUGGAGAAUAAGCGCCGGCUAACUCCGUG
rnacentral:rRNA from 1 species